GAGUUUGAUCAUGGCUCAGAACGUACGCUGGCGGCACGCCUAAUACAUGCAAGUCGAACGAAGUAGCAAUACUUAGUGGCAGACGGGUGAGUAACAUGUAGGUAUCUUCCCUAUGGUAAGGAAUAACACGAGGAAACUUGUGCUAAUACCUCAUAAGUCUUUACAGAGAAAGCUUUAUGCGCCAUUGGAUGAGCCUGCACUUGAUUAGUUUGUUGGUGGGGUAAAGGCCUACCAAGACAAUGAUCAAUAGCUGAUUUGAGAGGAUGAUCAGCCACAUUGGGACUGAGACACGGCCCAAACUCCUACGGGAGGCAGCAGUAGGGAAUCUUGCACAAUGGGGGAAACCCUGAUGCAGCGAUGCCGCGUGAGUGAAGAAGGCCUUUGGGUUGUAAAGCUCUUUCGUCGGGGAAGAAAAUGACUGUACCCGAAUAAGAAGGUCCGGCUAACUUCGUGCCAGCAGCCGCGGUAAUACGAAGGGACCUAGCGUAGUUCGGAAUUACUGGGCUUAAAGAGUUCGUAGGUGGUUAAAAAAGUUGGUGGUGAAAUCCCAGAGCUUAACUCUGGAACUGCCAUCAAAACUUUUUAGCUAGAGUAUGAUAGAGGAAAGCAGAAUUUCUAGUGUAGAGGUGAAAUUCGUAGAUAUUAGAAAGAAUACCGAUUGCGAAGGCAGCUUUCUGGAUCAUUACUGACACUGAGGAACGAAAGCAUGGGUAGCGAAGAGGAUUAGAUACCCUCGUAGUCCAUGCCGUAAACGAUGUGUGUUAGACGUUGGAAAUUUAUUUUCUGUGUCGCAGCGAAAGCAAUAAACACACCGCCUGGGGAGUACGACCGCAAGGUUAAAACUCAAAUGAAUUGACGGGGACCCGCACAAGUAGUGGAGCAUGUGGUUUAAUUCGAAGAUACGCGCAGAACCUUACCAACACUUGACAUGUUCGUCGCGACUUUAAGAGAUUAAAGUUUUUGGUUCGGCCGGACGAAACACAGGUGCUGCAUGGCUGUCGUCAGCUCGUGUCGUGAGAUGUUGGGUUAAGUCCCGCAACGAGCGCAACCCUCACUUUUAGUUGCCAUCAUUAAGUUGGGCACUCUGAAAGAACUGCCAGUGAUAAGCUGGAGGAAGGUGGGGAUGACGUCAAGUCCUCAUGGCCCUUACGUGUUGGGCUACACACGUGCUACAAUGGCAUUUACAAUAGGAAGCAAGACGGCGACGUUAAGCAAAUCCUAAAAAAAUGCCUCAGUUCGGAUUGUACUCUGCAGCUCGGGUACAUGAAGCUGGAAUUACUAGUAAUCGCGGAUCAGCGCGCCGCGGUGAAUACGU
rnacentral:rRNA from 1 species